rnacentral:lncRNA from 14 species
AUGGAGCCAACAGCCCAGAGACGGACUGAGAAAAGCUUCAGCUACGUCAUCAGAGCUCCCAGCAUCGAUGGCUCUGACGGGAUAAAUGUGGAUGUGAAGAUUGACACCUGCUGGGUCUUCCGAGAUGUGGAGGAGAGGGACAAGGAGCAGGGGUGCCUUCCGGAAACUGCCAGCAGCCUGGACCUGGACACGGGGUUGCUCAGGGAGCAGCUAGAAUCCUCAGAGCGGAAGCUGUUGGCAGCUGUGGACAAGCAUGUGAUAUCAGAGUCGGGGCUGAGGAACAGGGUCCGGGAGCUGGAGCUGUCAGAGAGGAGGCUUCUCUUGAAGGUGGAACAGCUGAGGGCCUGUGUGGCCCAGGAAAGAAGUGCCACACUCCACACCCAGGAGCAGCUGCAGGCCCUGCAGGGGACACUGGUUAGCCAGGUUCGUAGCCCAUCCACUGCCCAGUGCCUGGUCAUGUGAUCACC